rnacentral:tRNA from 1 species
GCCCUGCAUGGACGGAUGAGCGUUGACCGCGCUCUGGACGUGCUGUUGGCGGACGCUGACCUGGCGUUUCGAAGGACGCCGUCGGGCG